rnacentral:sRNA from 1 species
AAAACCAACCUGGCUAUUCCUAGGAAUGAUAAAAUAUCUUCCUUUGUAGAAGGAACAGUUAGAGAAUGGAUCAGAAUCUUUCUAUCUAGGGUAAUAGCUUUUUAGGUUGGGGUAAUUGUUCGUCCCAAAUAGAUGACCAAAGGACUGGACUUUAGAAGGUGAGACCCUGUAACCUUUACUGAAAAUGAAAUUCAGAAGAGCAGAGGUGUCAGUUUGGCAAAUUUUUUGAGAGGGGUUACACAGAAGAAUGCAAUCUAUAUAGUGGACAGUCCUAGAUUUAGGGAGAGAAAGAGAGAAGGUAAUUCAGAAACCAGGGCCUGGCCAAAUUGGUGUGGGCUGUGCUGGAAUCUCUGAGGUAGAACAGUCCAGGUAAGUUGUGUAGAAAAGUGGGUGUCAGGAUCUGUUCAGGAAAAGGCAAAUAUGUUCUGUGACUGGGUAUCUAGAGGGAUAGAGAAAGUAGCAUCCGGAGAUCUAAGAUUGAGAAAUGAGAAUUCCCCAAGGGGAUAGUGGGAAGAAGUGUAUAAGGAUUAGCCACAACAGGAUGUACAGGAACUAUGGCAGAAUUAAUGGACCUGAGGUUUUGAACCAGGAGAUAGGUUCCACUAAGUUUCCUAACUGCUAAUGUAGGGGUUUUAAAGGGGGAAGAGGUAGGGCAAAGGAGGUUUUUCCUUAAGAGAUCAGAGGUGAUAUACUUAAGGCCCCUGAGGCUCUGGAGUGAAAGCAGGUAUUGAGGUUGGGUGAUGUACCUGGUAGAAUUCAGUAAUUGCUUGACAACAGGAGAAUGUUUAGCAGCAGAGGGGUUCUGGACAUCCCUGACAAGGAGGUCUACUUGAGAAGCUGGCCAGAAGUCAACUUGCAUUAGAAAAUGUGCUAUUACCAAGAAGCAUGUCACCAAGACAACCGAAUAGAACUGUCCAGAGUAUGUCCUUCUGCAGAAAUAUCAAUUGAGACAACUAUCCAGGCAUGAAAUACCUUCAUAAGAACUAAACAAAACAGGGAAAGCUCCUUAAACCAGAAGAACCAUCCCUUUAUUCUUCUUCUUUCCCCUACAAUGAAGUGAUUCUUUACAACAUCCUGUGCUCCUUUUAAAGCCCAUUGGUUCCUUGUGGUGCUGUCAGAAUGUACAUGAGGAACGUCUACUGAAGAAAGGAAAGCCUCUCAGAAGCCAAAUACCUGAAGAAAACUCACUCUGCCUCUCAUAAGAAUCCAUCAGUGGCCAAUAUCACCUCAGUGUUUCCACAGGACGUAUCCCAGAUGAUUGAGUCGGGGGAAAGUCUACAAAAGUUUGGAUGUUGAUUAUUUCCUAAUAUCCCAGAAAUGAGAGGAAAGCCUAAACAUGAUCUAGGAUUAAGGAUACCAGCUUUUGCAGAAGAACUAAAACAACUACCCAUGUCUAAACAAGCAACUACUAGACUCUUGGGCUUCCCAUUCACAACUGCCCAUUGUUGGGUUAGCUGGACUACUGACUAGUCACCAGCCAACAAACAGGCAUUAAAUUCACCAUCCUAAGGAAAUUAUUCAUACUCAAAACAUAACAGCCAAAAGUCAUGCACUUGAAGACUUCUGUCUCUACUCCUCUAUUCUACGGAUAAAGUGAAACCAUAACUUUCAGGAAAAGAAAACAUGAGAAUGUAGAUUACAAAAGUCGGAACUGACAAAAUACAUAAAGACCAUGGGAUGGAAUUUACAUUUUGAGGAUGGCAGAGUAAUGAAUCAGAAAGAGCCUUUGACACCAACGACUCACAGGAAGUCCCAACAUGUCUCCUUAAUAUCUUCAUAGUGGUCAUAUCAUUUGAAUAUGAAGAAGAAAAAGAGCAGGUGGAGGUAUUCAACCAUGCCGUCAAUCAACUAUGCAAUGCAACUAUGCAAUGACCAAUUAAAAGAAUAAGAAAUCUAAAUGAAUAGAUCUUUUAUUAUUAAUUUCAUUUAAUACUGGUUAAGCAAGAGAGACAGUUGAAUUAGGGUUUUUAA